rnacentral:tRNA from 1 species
GGACAGAUGGUAAUGGUUUGAGUGAGUUCAAUUCUCACUAGGAGCUUUAAUUACUUCCUAUGAAGGUUCGAUUCCUUCCCUGUCCU